AGCGGAGCCGUGGAGUCCAUUG
rnacentral:misc_RNA from 1 species